UACGUAGGGGGCAAGCGUUGUCCGGAAUCAUUGGGCGUAAAGCGCGUGUAGGCGGCCAGAAAAGUCCGCUGUGAAAACUCGAGGCUCAACUUCGAGCUGUCGGUGGAAACUUUCUGGCUAGAGUCCGGAAGAGGAGAAUGGAAUUCCUGGUGUAGCGGUGAAAUGCGCAGAUAUCAGGAAGAACACCCGUGGCGAAGGCGGUUCUCUGGGACGGUACUGACGCUGAGACGCGCAAGCGUGGGGAGCGAACAGG
rnacentral:rRNA from 1 species